UAGGGAAUUUUGCGCAAUGGACGAAAGUCUGACGCAGCAACGCCGCGUGAGGGAUGAAGGCCUUCGGGUUGUAAACCUCUGUUGGAUGGGAAAAAAAUCCCGCAAGGGACUGAUGGUACCAUCUGAGGAAGCACCGGCUAACUACGUGCCAGCAGCCGCGGUAAUACGUAGGGUGCAAGCGUUGUUCGGAAUCACUGGGCGUAAAGAGAGCGUAGGCGGGAUUGUAAGUUAGGAGUUUAAUGCAUGGGCUUAACCCAUGACCUGCUCUUAAUACUGCAGUUCUUGAGUAUAGGAGAGGGCGAUGGAAUUCCAGGUGUAGCGGUGGAAUGCGUAGAUAUCUGGAAGAACACCAGUAGCGAAGGCGGUCGCCUGGCCUAAUACUGACGCUGAGGCUCGAAAGCUAGGGGAGCAAACAGG
rnacentral:rRNA from 1 species